rnacentral:rRNA from 1 species
AACGAACGCUGGCGGCAUGCCUAACACAUGCAAGUCGAACGAGACCUUCGGGUCUAGUGGCGCACGGGUGCGUAACGCGUGGGAACCUGCCCUUAGGUUCGGAAUAACUCCCCGAAAGGGGUGCUAAUACCGGAUAAUGUCUUCGGACCAAAGAUUUAUCGCCUUUGGAUGGGCCCGCGUUGGAUUAGCUAGUUGGUAGGGUAAAAGCCUACCAAGGCGACGAUCCAUAGCUGGUCUGAGAGGAUGAUCAGCCACACUGGGACUGAGACACGGCCCAGACUCCUACGGGAGGCAGGAGUGGGGAAUAGUGGACAGUGGGCGAAAGGCUGAUCCAGCAAUGCCGCGUGAGUGAUGAAGGCCUUAGGGUUGUAAAGCUCUUUUACCCGGGAUGAUAAUGACAGUACCGGGAGAAUAAGCUCCGGCUAACUCCGUG